CGGCCGCCGAGUCGCUGGUGGAUCAGUCGGCGGCGCUGCACCGGCGGGUAGCCGCUAUGCGGGAGGCGGGGACAGCGCUUCCGGACCAGGUCAGGCAGAGGUAUCAAGAGGAUGCAUCCGAUAUGAAGGACAUGUCCAAAUACAAACCUCACAUUCUGCUGUCCCAAGAGAACACACAGAUUAGAGACUUGCAACAGGAAAAUAGAGAGCUGUGGAUUUCCUUGGAGGAACACCAGGAUGCUUUGGAACUCAUCAUGAGCAAGUAUCGGAAACAGAUGUUACAGUUAAUGGUUGCUAAAAAAGCUGUGGAUGCUGAACCAGUCCUGAAAACUCACCAGUCUCACUCUGCAGUAAGAAACUUUGAAUAAAUUCGAAAUGAACCAAAUUGAAAUCU
rnacentral:sRNA from 1 species